UUAUUUUGUGGCACCUGUGUCAGCCAGAGUUUAGUGCGACACUUCUGUCUGCUACAAUUUAUUUUUAGUUCAAGUGUCAGUGUCCAUGUUAGUUGGUCUGUGAAAGUGAGCCUGGAGAACAGUUGUCCUUGAUGGAGGUUCAUUAUAACGUGAUCGAAAAUUAACAUUUUAUUCUUAUACAAAGCUUAUCUAAGAGAAAAAAAUUAAAAAAUCACUGCCACAUAUCUCAAUGCUGCAGGAUUAGACUCCCUAUUUCUAUAAAAAAAAAUAAUUACUUACCACUACCUGAUUACCUAACUGGUUAUUUUUUUAAUGGUUCAUGCCAUCGACUAUGAAUAAUGAUCAAAAAUUUUAUCUUGAUUCAAGAAUGGGAAAUAAGAAAGAAAAAGAUGUACAAAAUGUAAUAAAGGGAAUAACUUCACAUAUGCAGCCAUGUGUCAAUAAGCAGCAUUUAUUUCCCUUUUUGAUACCAAGCGAAUAUUUUUUUAUUCAUGUUUUGUUAGGUACAACAUAUGAAUGUGUAAAGUUUCCACUUGAUCCGAGAAAGGGUGUGGGAGAAAUAACGUGUAAAAAACUUGUACCAGACAGACACAACGACAGAGUGAGUUAAUAUAAGCCUUGUACAAAGUGGAAUAUUAAAAAGGGAAAAAGAAAUAGGUAACUGUAAUAUUGGUAGGAUCUCCGGAUCAUGUAGAUCUAUAUGAUCUUAUCAAUUUGACCUAUCGCAAUCUUUAAUGUGUUAAUUUUCAAUUCGUAAGCGAGGAUGAAGGUUUAAUCGUGUAGUGAUACUACAUACGUCCACAAUAAUAGGUAUUUAGAAUAAAUGUGAGAUUAUUAUUUGUUUUCAAUUGCAGAAAAUAAUAGGUUCUAAUGAUAGCGAUAAGUCCGCAGGAUCACAUACCUGGAAGUAGACUAGAGACAAUGUUAGGAUAUAUUUAGACUGGACAAUUAAGUCAAUGUUUGUAAAAAAAAAUGUUGGUAUCAUUCUCAAUGGUGAAAAACGAAAUGAAUGCAAAUAAUUCCGCUAAAUCGCUCAAAACCUUAAAUAAAAUGAGACUUUUAUGAAUUGUACAAUUUCCAUUUAGUGAAAUUAAUCAUGCGAACUCUAUAUUCUUAAUGCUUCAAAACAAUAACUUAGGAUUUCAAUUUAACCCUAAAUUAGUGGCACUAGAAUUAGUUUCUUCGUUACUUCCAAACCAUUAUUUCCCCAUUCUUAUGACACACAUUUUUUGGUGAGCUUCUGUAUCUCCACAUGCCACUGGCCAAAUAAGAACUACAUCGAUGUUUAUUUAUUCAAUUAUCGGUUAUCUUAUACAUGACAAGUUUUCUUCAUAAAAACAAAAUAAUUGUUUCAUUCCCUAUCCAUGUGUUAAUCUAGUUGUGCAUGUUAACUAGAGACUUAGAAUCUACUAAGUCAUUGGUUUUCCUGGCUGAUUCAGGUCAUUAACAUAACAGUAAAUCAGUCCGAUGUAGAUUUGCUACAUGUUAAAAAUGGAUCAAGUUUUUGUUCUUAUGAAAAUAAAUGUCAUAAAAUAAU